rnacentral:rRNA from 1 species
AGCGACGCAUACCGGAGGGGUAACCCACUGGUAUGACGGAGCGGCGAACGGGUGAGUAACACGUGAGUAACCUGCCCCACAGACCGGGACAGCCCAGGGAAACCUGGAUUAAUACCGGAUAUCCUCGAAGGAUCGCAUGAUCUUUCGAGGAAAUGCCUUUGUGCUGUGGGAUGGGCUCGCGACUUAUCAGCUAGUUGGUGGGGUAACGGCCUACCAAGGCGUCGACGAGUAGCUGGUCUGAGAGGACGAUCAGCCACACUGGGACUGAGACACGGCCCAGACUCCUACGGGAGGCAGCAGCAGGGAAUCUUGCGCAAUGGGCGAAAGCCUGACGCAGCAACGCCGCGUGGGGGAUGAAGGCCUUCGGGUUGUAAACCCCUUUCAGGAGGGAAGAAAUUGACGGUACCUCCAAAAGAAGCACCGGCCAACUACGUGCCAGCAGCCGCGGUAAUACGUAGGGUGCGAGCGUUAUCCGGAAUCAUUGGGCGUAAAGAGCUCGUAGGGUUCAGUAAGUCGGCUGUGAAAUUUCGAGGCUCAACCUCGAAACUGCAGUCGAAACUGCUGUGACUCGAGUCCGGUAGAGGAGAAUGGAAUUCCCGGUGUAGCGGUGAA